GACUCUCGGCAACGGAUAUCUCGGCUCUCGCAUCGAUGAAGAACAUAGCAAAAUGCGAUACUUGGUGUGAAUUGCAGAAUCCCGUGAACCAUCGAGUCUUUGAAUGCAAGUUGCGCCCAAGCCUUCUGACCGAGGGCACGUCUGCCUGGGUGUCA
rnacentral:rRNA from 1 species